GACUGAUUGGAUACUCACUUGUCAUUCCAAAGUGAGUAUCCACUCACAAAAGUGGCAACUUAGCAGGAAGAGGGAAGUGUUGACCCACAAAGAAGGAGAACAAAACGUGGAUUAGGUGGCAAAUAUAUAUUUGCAAGGCCAUUUUUAGGAAGGUUAAAGAGAAACUACAUCUUGUGAGACGAUGUCGGCGAUGAAAUGGGGAAAUGCCCGCCAUUUCCACUCGAAUCAGCCAACUACGAGGGGUCGAAUGGCUGCUACAAAUUUUGUAGGAGGUGAUGUAGUCUUCCGGUAGAAGAAUACGCUUCGGUCGCUCCACUUUUAUGUCGUCUUCAGAGCAGCCAGACUACAACUUCUGACGACGGUGUGCUGCCGAUGCUGGAGCUUGGACGGUUGGUGGAAGAUGUGACAAGUUCUCGAUUUUCAUCCGGCUCGUCCAUAAAACGAUGGGGGACUCAUGUCAUAUAUAUUUCCAUUAAACAUCUCUUUUUGAAAAAAUUUGGACUUUUAUGGCAUUUCAAAUAGUUUUAAUGUAGAAAAAGGGAUGUUUUGAAUGCUAAAAUUGUUUAAUUUCGACGGUUUGCCCGCUUCGUGCGUGUGUCGUGUGUCCACGCACCCCCGGCCUAGACAACAAUGGUUCAUUCCACCCUCACCGAGUUGCUUCCAU